rnacentral:rRNA from 1 species
ACUCCUACGGGAGGCAGCAGUGGGGAAUAUUGCACAAUGGGGGAAACCCUGAUGCAGCCAUGCCGCGUGUGUGAAGAAGGCCUUCGGGUUGUAAAGCACUUUCUAGUAGGGAGGAAGGUAGUGUAGUUAACACCUGCAUUAUUUGUACGUUACCUACAGAAGAAGCACCGGCUAACUCCGUGCCAGCAGCCGCGGUAAGUACGGAGGGUGCGAGCGUUAAUCGGAAUUACUGGGCGUAAAGCGCAUGCAGGCGGCCUGUUAAGUCAGAUGUGAAAGCCCGGGGUCGUUAACCUCGGAAUUGCAUUUGAAACUGGCAGGCUAGAGUCUUGUAGAGGGGGUUAGAAUUUCGAGGUGUAGCGGUGAAAUGCGUAGAGAUCUGAAGGAAUACCA